UUCUCUCUCUCCCUCUGCCCUACCCUCUGCUUGCACAGGCAUGAGCUCUCUCUCUAUCUCUCUGUCUCUCAAAUAAAUCAAUUUUUUUUAGAAAAGGAAGAAAGGAAAAAGAAUACUUGGGGCAUAGAGCACUAUCAUGAGCUUGGAAGCCUAUGUUUUAUGAUCCUUGAGCAUCAAACUGUGUGGCCUUGAAUAAAUCUUACAUCCUUCCUGGACCUUGGUUUCCUAACCUGUUAAAUGAGAAGAUUGAACUAGAAUGUCCUCUAGGUUUCCUCUGAAUCUAAAAAAGUUGACAUCAGUGUACCUAUGAGAAUGGUUGGGAGAAAGACUCCUUAAUGUCACAGGGGCCUGUUCUGAAGCUAAAUGGCUGCCCGGAGACUGAAAACUUCUAGGCAUAUCCUGUCUUACAGCAGAUGUGGCGUCUGAGCCAAGGACCGUGUAGUAUUACAGUGUCCGUGAGUCCUACUCAAAAGUAAUGUGCAUUGUGGACUAAACCUCUGAGGAAUUUUGACCAUUUUCUGACCUUCCAGUUAAUAAGUAAAUAAUACUGUUUCUUCCUCUGAACUUCUCACAGCUCUUCUUCCAUAAACACGGUAUGACCCUUCUUUAUUUAUCAAUUUAAUUGAUUCUAGGUUUAUUUUCUUACUGAUCUUAAAAUCCUUCCCUUAAAUGUGUCACAUCUAUUGUCUUUUAGGCCUUAAAAAUUCCACAACAGUCUUCUAAAUAAAGUUAAAGGUGUUGACUACAGGCUUCAGCAUUUUCUCCCAGAAGGCUCUGUCCUCAUGGCCUUUCAUUAUCUACCAUUUCUGUGCUGAUUCACAGUCCAUGAUUCUACCAGAGGAUGUUUCAGGUUUUCUACUGCAUCCUCCACACUCAGAAGAAACCAGCUAAGCACUUCCCCAGUCACUAAAGACUUGGAAGCAGAGCUGAAGGUGACAGCCAAAGUGUUCUCCAUGGCCAGAAAAUGCAGACAAAAAGCUGCUUUUUCAUCUCCUUUGGACUACUGGGACAUAGGAGCUUUCUCUUCUUUACCAGCUCAUCCCACCUCCUUCUAUCUCCACUACGGCCUCUAGUUCACGACACCAUCGUGCCCUGAUCCUGAGGGAGGCUGCCCUACUUCUCCCACCAGCUGCCCUACUUCUACUUCUCCAGCAUCCUGUCAUGGCUCAGCAACCAGAAUUUAUCUAUUUGAUGCUUUGUGGGAGUUGGGUGAUCUGAAUGCCAUACGUGAUGGGUGCGGAAAGCCUUUCAGAAAUAGCUCCCCUGCAGCCAACUAUCGAUGCUCCAUAGUCCUUGCCUUUCCAGGUCCAACGCCAUAGCCAUGGGCUUUCCAGUUCUGGGGACAGUCCUGACCCAGGCAGGCAACAUAUCCAGAGUUGAUUUGGGGGGUGUCUGGCUGGCUCACUGUGUAGAGCAUGUGACCCUUGGUCUUGGGGUCCUGAGUUCAAGCCCCACAUUGGGAGUAGAGAUUACUUAAAAAAAAGAAAAAAAAAGGUGGUCAAUAGAUGUUAAAAAUAAAAUAAAAUAGAGCUUAUUUUUAUCCACAGGUGGUGUCUGGGCUUAAUUUUAUUAUCAGCCUUACACUUCUGUCACUCUCACACUUCCAGAGUGAACUCUGGUGCCCUAGUAUGUGUCCUUUAAGCAAGCAGCCCUUUUCCCAAUCACUCACUAUGCUUCCCUAGGACGUAUGGGCCUAAACUUUUGCUGUAGUAUAUGCUUUAGACACCAAGAUCCUCUGCCAGAAGUAGAAUCUUUCCUUACUAUGAAUUUAUUGGAUUGGGAUACUCAAAAUAUGCUUAAGUUUUGUCAUUUUUUCUUUUAUUUUUUCUCUUUUUUUAGAGAAAGAGAGAGAGAGGGAACACUUGAGUGGGGGAGAGGGGCAGAAGGAGGGGGAGAGAGAGAACCUUAAGCAGUGUCCGCAUCCAGAGCGAGGCCGACACAGGGCUCUAUCUCAUGACUCUGAGAUCAUGACCUGAGCCAAAAUCAAGAGUCAGACUCUUAACCGACUGGGCUACCCGGGUAUCCUGCCAUUUUUUUUUUUUUCAAGAGAUUGGACUGGGCCUCCAUCCCCUAUAGCUUAUCUGGGGUCCUGCUGGAGGCUAGAUGGAUCCACAACACCACCUCUCAUGGUGGUCAGACUCCUGCUGACAUGCCUGAGCUGCCAGAUUAGAACUCCUUGGAUAUUGUGGGGGUGGAGAUGCUUAUGUCCCCCCAAUUCUGACACAUAUGAUUGACCAAGUUCCAUGUAGCAGAUUUUGCUUAUUUUGCUACAAAAGCAAGGAAUAGAUCUAUUCCCUCUCUUAGACCUGUCAGGCCAAAAGCACUCCUCAUGAUAUACCGAUAUGGACAGGGUCUGUCCCUCUAUCCCUGACCACAACAGGACUCCAGUUUUCCUAGGCUAAGUCAUGAGAGUAGGGCAAGAAUUUAAACGGAGGCCCACAUACCAUAUGUCUACAUAUGCAUGGGUUAUAAAUCAAGCAGAAAAACUGUUUAAUAAAACCUAUUUUAUCCUUCUGCCUUGAAAAAUAUCCCUUCAGAGUGAUAAAAAUGAAUUAUGUGUAAAGCUGUUUUUUAAUAUAACUAAAAACAGGCAAAAUCUUAAAGAUGAGUGAAUUUAAUUUUUGCACAUCUGUGUGUUCUCUUGUGAAUAUAAAAUAAAGGCAAUCAUAAUGCAUACAUUUUUGUAUAUUUAUUUCCCUGGUGUUUGUUUCAGCAAAUCACUAAUUAUGCCAUUAUAAUCAAGAUUUUCACAAAGCUUGUGAAAAUAGUGCCUAUGAUCUAAAAGAUUAAAAAAUGAAAUGUAACUACAUUAAAAAUAUACGAAAUUUGAGUGUCUCUAAAAAUUAUAAA